UGUAAAGACCUACUGUAAAGCCUAUUUAAAAAUCUUUGUGCAUUUAUGGAUAUUUCUUUUGUUGUCAUUGUCCUAAAUUAUCAUAGCUGGAAAGAGAGAGGGGGGACUUAUAUUUCUAACAAUAAAUAAUGUAUCUAGGGUCAAUGAGGUGGCUCAGUGAAUGAAGAUGCUUAUAGCAUAAACCUGAUGACUAGAUUCCACAGAUUUGACCUCUGACCUCCACACAUGUGUCCUAGCAUACAUAUGCCCAGCAUAUAAAACACACAAAUAACAUAAUAAUGAAUUAAGUCAAAUAAAAAUAAAUGAUUUGUCUAGAUAAAAGGAUGCAAAUUAUAGUAUGGAAAGAUGCUACUGUAUUUUUUUUCUCUUUUUUAACAAAACUAUACCCAAUUUUAGAGGCACUCUCACAAGACCCUUGAGAAAGAACUUUUAGUUUCUUGGUAUCUUGGUUUUGGAGGUUCCGGUAUUGUUGUGGUUUUUAGUUUCUUUUGUGUUGUUUAACAUGUACUUCUUGACAGAUUGCAUACUGUCUGUUUCAACUUGCCUGAUCUGAUACAGACAGCAUGGCUACAAGCCUUUACCUUGCUGUCAUAUUGAAGAGUCUCUUCCAGGCCUUUGGAUUGUGUGUUGCUCAAGGUAAUACUGCACUUAACUGUGGAGACUUUGUUUUCUCAAGGGUUAAAAGCUAAACAUUAAAAAUAAAAAAUGCUUGUUCCUCAUAAAGCAAUGAGGCGAGCUAUAUAUGCCAGAUACUGCAGUGCAUGGAGUUUUCAGAUGCCUGGGGUCUUCAGAACCCUUUCCUUCUUUGCUCUCCACUGAGUCACCUGUUUACUUGUGACGUAGUCUCUAAUGCAGCAACAUGAGAUGACUUUAGAUUAUUAAUGCUGAUUUAAAUAGCUUAAGUUCUCCUAAUAACGCAUCCCCUGAGAAAGCACAUUUCUAUGGAAUAGCAUAGGUAUAAUGUCAGGAAGAGGAUGGGAUUUGCUGCAAAAAAGUGUAAGAAUCCUCUUGGGUAGAUUAUCCAGGUGAAGAACAUACUGUAAAAUGUACAUAGAGGAUUAUGAAUGUUUACUAUACCUUACAUUUUUCUUUAGGUGUCUUAUAAUUUUUUUUUUAAAAAAAGUCAGGAACCUGCCAUCUGCUGACUAGUGGAACUGUCUGAUUCGUAAAAAAUAAGAAUAAAAAGAAAAAGCGCCCAAAGAACACUCCAAAUUGGUCUCAUUUGCAGACUUUAUCUCAGAAAACAUGAAUAUUUGUCUUCUAGAACUGGGUUCUAGUUUCAGAGAGUUAAUAUACAGAGUUGAGAGAAAUAGUCUAACUUCCCCGCACAAGUCAACAAUAAAAUUGCUUGUUAGAUACCUGACAACCAACUUUGGGGCAUCUGUUUCUGAACAGGCAGAAGCAUACUGUGAAAGCGGAGUCUUCCCCUUUUAGUUGUUUUCUAUGAAUGUAAGUGCCCUGUACCUGCCCUCUUUCCAUUCUCUCUCUUGAUCACUUUUGGCCUAAAUCUUGUUGGAAAUAGUCUGAACUAAAAGAAAAGCCCACCUGGAGCUCUGCUAGCUUCCUCUACUGAUCAAUCAGCAUCUAGGCCAUCACCAUGACCUUGGUCUGUGAUCCAUCUUGCUUGUCUUCCACCAAACACAUGGACUAUAACAGCAAUUGCUGCCCCUUUUCAGCUGUCCAGCCUCUUGCAGAGAAACCCCUGAUGACACAUGUGAAAUCCAUUGCAAUCCUUUUGUAGAAGGUGUUGCAAUAUAAAACGCUAUUACAGUGUAACUGGCAUGAAUUUGCUAAGAGGACUCCUGUCAUAAGGGACCAAGUCAUUUGGUUGAGCUUGCUAGAAGACGUACAGUGUUGAUUUUAUUUCUGCACUUCAUUAUGAAUUUUGGAAAUGCGGUCUUUCUCUGAAGGACUUUGUGAAUUGUAUUGCAUAAAAUUAUAAUGCAUAAAAAUUAUAAUGCAUUAAAAAGGGAACUUGCCAGCAUUUCCACUUCUUCCUGGAAUGUUGCCAUAGUGUUCUUCACUAGUAUGAUUAGCUAUCUAUGUCCAGGCUCUAUGCAGUUAUUCAGGUUGAUGUUUCAUUUUAAAGAAUGUACUUGUAAAAUGUAACAAGACCAGUAGCUAACUUUUUUUAAGGUCUGGUAGAAGUAAUAUUAUGUGUUAGACUUAAAAUUAUAGUGAAAUCUGUUUUAUACUAUUGUGACUAGCAAAGAUUAUGCAUUUAUGUAGAAACAGUUACAGAGUGCCCUAUAUAAGAGAUACUAGUUAAGAUAGGUUUCACUCCUAAUUAUCAGAAUUGUGAUGCUGCUAAUGUGUGUUGUUCUUGGUUUUUCAGAAAUUCUCUAUGAUACUGAGUACAGUACCAUUUUUGUUUCAUUCAGAGACAAGUUAACAACUGUUCUGUUGGUUCACUCUUAUAGCAACUUGGAUUUUGUCAUUAAAUAUUUUAACUCUCUGGUGAA
rnacentral:lncRNA from 1 species